CACCAUGGGGAAACUUUCAGAAUUUCCUUUCUAUUUAUGUAGAUGGAUAAACCUUAGAAGAAUAGCUAAAGACUUCCCAAAAGUACCCACAAGGACAGGUCAGAUUUUACUAGCUCAAAUGAUAAGAGUAGGCUUUGUGGAAGCUAUAGGAGUUUUUGUUUGAUUUCUUUUGAAACAAGAGGCUUAUGUAGCCCAGGCUGGCCUUAACAUUGCAUUUUUCAAAUUAUGUUUUUAGUCCUCCUGAGUACUGAGAUUACAGGGUCAUGUCACUGUACCUGGGAUAUGGUUUGGUUUUGUUUGUUUGCUUUGGUAUUUUUCUGAGACAGGGUCUCACUUUGUGACUCUGUCCUGGCUCUCACCAUGAACGCUGGCCUUGAUCUCACAAAGGUCUGCUUGCCUCUGCCUCACAAGUGCUGGGGCCCAGCACCAAACCUGCUUUUGCAGUGCAGUGACUGAACUCAGGCUUGCUAGGUUAGCCCUCUCCCCAAGGAUACACGGAGGGAUGAUCUCUUGUGCGCUGAGUGGAAGAACCAGCUGUCAGUAAGAAGCUGAGUGGCCAACAAGCUGAGGCCGGAUUAAAAGGUGGGACAUACACUAGAGAGAUUGGGAUUCUGGGGGUAAAGUCAGAGGCACAGAGAUUCACCCCUAAACAAUGAGGAAGAUGGUCACUUGUAAUGAAGGACGUUGGCAUGUGUCUAUUUAGAGUAAAAUAAACGGGCAAUUAAAUUCUGAGCUAGUCAGGGAACAAGCCAAGGCUAUCAUUUAACUACCCCUCUGUUUCAAACAGUACUGCUUCUAUAGCCAGACAGAACUGGCAUCUGGCCUUUUCUAGAUUCUACAGGAAUUCCCCCUUUCUUCUGAUGAAAUUUUUUCAUUGUCUCCCCUGUUUUUCCACACCCACAUAGUUCCCCAUUCGGUACACAGUGUCUUUAACCUUAACAACCAGAGCACUGAAAACCUAAAGCCAGUCUCAGUUUCAUUUCUGGAGCAAGUCAUGAGAUCAUCAAAGUACCUGCUUAAAAUAGCAACGGUUUCAGAAAAGGAGACCGGUCUAGAGACAGAAUCACUUUAGGCCUUUCGGUGGUAACACACUUGAUAUCUGUAUUUCCAAAAUGGCUGAAAGUGCUAAAGAGGCUCUAAGGUCCUGGGGCUCCACAGGUCUCCUUGCCUAGAUUGCAGCAGAGGCAACUUGGUGGUCAAACACUGUUUAGACAUGAGUGUGUGACUCAGAACUGGCACUAGAACGCAAAAGGGAUGGAUGAAUAAGUUACACAUAACAGUGCCAGGAAAUGAUCUCACCACCACCCCUCCUGGAAGACUGGGUUUCUCUUCCUGAAGCCCUGGAACUUACUCUGUAGACCAUGUUGGCCUCAAACUCCGAGAUCUACCUGCCUCCACCCCCUAAAGGGCUAGCACCCCAUGAAGAAACGACCUGCAUUCAGUGUUGAGUUCCCUUCACUCUGACCCACUCCUUGGCAUGAUUCCUAAUGGAUCCCCGUCCCCACAAUGCAUGCGCAAGUGCGUGCAUGCGUGCGUGGACGACUGAAUAUUACUCGGCUUCAAGAAAGAGAAGACUCUGCCACUUGCUACAUGGAUAAAAUGAAAGGAAAUUAUGUGAAAUGAAAGAUGAAAAAUAUAGGAAAAUUUUUGCAUGAUCUCAUUUAUACGCAGACUUUUUUUUAAAGGUUCUAUACCGAGGCAGGGAAUCAACAGUGGUUUCCUGGGCCCAGGGUGAGACAGGAAAUGGGCAGGUCAAAGGAUAUAAAGCAACAGUUAGGCUGGGUGAGUGAAAGACUAAACCACAUCAGAGAACUAUAGUUGGCUAAUUGUUCUCCCGACUUUUUGCUCUACGUGUUUUGUGCUGGAAAUUUUUGCUGAAAUUGAGUUGUAUUUAGGAUUUCUGUUCUAAGAGUAGAUUUAGAACUACUCUUGCCACAGAGGGGAAAAUGGGUAGCUAAGUGGGACAACUGACCUGUUCAUCUGUCCUACCGCAGAAGCAACUAUCUUAACAGAUUCUGUACUUUAAAUAUGCACCAGAACAUUUAAAUAAAAAGAGGUCUUUGUAAA
rnacentral:sRNA from 1 species